CAACCUCAACUCAUAUGGGACUACCCCCUGAAAUUAAGCAUAUUAAUUAGGGGAGGAAAAGAAACUAACAAGGAUUUUCUUAGUAGCGGCGAGCGAAAAGAAAUCAGUUCAGCACUAAGUCACUUUGUCUAUAUGGCAAAUGUGAGAUGCAGUGUAUGGAGCGUCAAUAUUCUAGUAUGAGAAAUUAACGAUUUAAGUCCUUCUUAAAUGAGGCCAUUUACCCAUAGAGGGUGCCAGGCCCGUAUAACGUUAAUGAUUACUAGAUGAUGUUUCCAAAGAGUCGUGUUGCUUGAUAGUGCAGCACUAAGUGGGUGGUAAACUCCAUCUAAAACUAAAUAUAACCAUGAGACCGAUAGUAAACAAGUACCGUGAGGGAAAGUUGAAAAGAACUCUGAAUAGAGAGUUAAACAGUACGUGAAACUGCUUAGAGGUUAAGCCCGAUGAACCUGAAUAUCCGUUAUGGAAAAUUCAUCAUUAGAAUUGUAAUAUUUAAACAAUAUUAUGAUAAUAGUGUGCAUUUUUUCCAUAUAAGGACAUUGUAAUCUAUUAGCAUACCAAAUUUAUCAUAAAAUAUAACUUAUAGUUUAUUCAAAUUAAUUUGCUUGCAUUUUAACACAGAAUAAAUGUUAUUAAUUUGAUAAAGUGCUGAUAGAUUUAUAUGAAUACAGUGCGUUAAUUUUUCGGAAUUAUAUAAUGGCAUAAUUAUCAUUGAUUUUUGUGUUUAUUAUAUGCACUUGUAGGAUUAACAAUGCGAAAGAUUCAGGAUACCUUCGGGACCCGUCUUGAAACACGGACCAAGGAGUCUAACAUAUGUGCAAGUUAUUGGGAUAUAAACCUAAUAGCGUAAUUAACUUGACUAAUAAUGGGAUUAGUUUUUUAACUAUUUAUAGCUAAUUAACACAAUCCCGGGGCGUUCUAUAUAGUUAUGUAUAAUGAUAUUUAUAUUAUUUAUGCCUCUAACUGGAACGUACCUUGAGCAUAUAUGCUGUGACCCGAAAGAUGGUGAACUAUACUUGAUCAGGUUGAAGUCAGGGGAAACCCUGAUGGAAGACCGAAACAGUUCUGACGUGCAAAUCGAUUGUCAGAAUUGAGUAUAGGGGCGAAAGACCAAUCGAACCAUCUAGUAGCUGGUUCCUUCCGAAGUUUCCCUCAGGAUAGCUGGUGCAUUUUAAUAUUAUAUAAAAUAAUCUUAUCUGGUAAAGCGAAUGAUUAGAGGCCUUAGGGUCGAAACGAUCUUAACCUAUUCUCAAACUUUAAAUGGGUAAGAACCUUAACUUUCUUGAUAUGAAGUUCAAGGUUAUGAUAUAAUGUGCCCAGUGGGCCACUUUUGGUAAGCAGAACUGGCGCUGUGGGAUGAACCAAACGUAAUGUUACGGUGCCCAAAUUAACAACUCAUGCAGAUACCAUGAAAGGCGUUGGUUGCUUAAAACAGCAGGACGGUGAUCAUGGAAGUCGAAAUCCGCUAAGGAGUGUGUAACAACUCACCUGCCGAAGCAACUAGCCCUUAAAAUGGAUGGCGCUUAAGUUGUAUACCUAUACAUUACCGCUAAAGUAGAUGAUUUAUAUUACUUGUAAUAUAAAUUUUGAAACUUUAGUGAGUAGGAAGGUACAAUGGUAUGCGUAGAAGUGUUUGGCGUAAGCCUGCAUGGAGCUGCCAUUGGUACAGAUCUUGGUGGUAGUAGCAAAUAAUCGAAUGAGACCUUGGAGGACUGAAGUGGAGAAGGGUUUCGUGUGAACAGUGGUUGAUCACGAGUUAGUCGGUCCUAAGUUCAAGGCGAAAGCCGAAAAUUUUCAAGUAAAAUACAAAUGCCAAACAAAUAUAUAUAUUAUAUAAAAUCUAGCUAAAUUAAUAUACUUGAAUAAUUUUGAACGAAAGGGAAUACGGUUCCAAUUCCGUAACCUGUUGAGUAUCCGUUUGUUAUUAAAUAUGGGCCUCGUGCUCAUCCUGGCAACAGGAACGACCAUAAAGAAGCCGUCGAGAGAUAUCGGAAGAGUUUUCUUUUCUGUUUUAUAGCCGUACUACCAUGGAAGUCUUUCGCAGAGAGAUAUGGUAGAUGGGCUAGAAGAGCAUGACAUAUACUGUUGUGUCGAUAUUUUCUCCUCGGACCUUGAAAAUUUAUGGUGGGGACACGCAAACUUCUCAACAGGCCGUACCAAUAUCCGCAGCUGGUCUCCAAGGUGAAGAGUCUCUAGUCGAUAGAAUAAUGUAGGUAAGGGAAGUCGGCAAAUUAGAUCCGUAACUUCGGGAUAAGGAUUGGCUCUGAAGAUUGAGAUAGUCGGGCUUGAUUGGGAAACAAUAACAUGGUUUAUGUGCUCGUUCUGGGUAAAUAGAGUUUCCAGCAUUUAUGUUAGUUACUUGUUCCCCGGAUAGUUUAGUUACGUAGCCAAUUGUGGAACUUUCUUGCUAAAAUUUUUAAGAAUACUAAUUGGGUUAAACCAAUUAGUUCUUAUUAAUUAUAACGAUUAUCAAUUAACAAUCAAUUCAGAACUGGCACGGACUUGGGGAAUCCGACUGUCUAAUUAAAACAAAGCAUUGUGAUGGCCCUAGCGGGUGUUGACACAAUGUGAUUUCUGCCCAGUGCUCUGAAUGUCAAAGUGAAGAAAUUCAAGUAAGCGCGGGUCAACGGCGGGAGUAACUAUGACUCUCUUAAGGUAGCCAAAUGCCUCGUCAUCUAAUUAGUGACGCGCAUGAAUGGAUUAACGAGAUUCCUACUGUCCCUAUCUACUAUCUAGCGAAACCACAGCCAAGGGAACGGGCUUGGAAUAAUUAGCGGGGAAAGAAGACCCUUUUGAGCUUGACUCUAAUCUGGCAGUGUAAGGAGACAUAAGAGGUGUAGAAUAAGUGGGAGAUAUUAGACCUCGGUUUGGUAUCGCCAAUGAAAUACCACUACUCUUAUUGUUUCCUUACUUACUUGAUUAAAUGGAACGUGUAUCAUUUCCUAGCCAUUAUACGGAUAUAUUUAUUAUAUCUUAUGGUAUUGGGUUUUGAUGCAAGCUUCUUGAUCAAAGUAUCACGAGUUUGUUAUAUAAUCGCAAACAAAUUCUUUAAUAAAACGGUGCAUUUAUGUAUUUUUGAUUUGAAAAUUUGGUAUAACUCCAAUUACUCAGGUAUGAUCCAAUUCAAGGACAUUGCCAGGUAGGGAGUUUGACUGGGGCGGUACAUCUCUCAAAUAAUAACGGAGGUGUCCCAAGGCCAGCUCAGUGCGGACAGAAACCACACAUAGAGCAAAAGGGCAAAUGCUGACUUGAUCUCGGUGUUCAGUACACACAGGGACAGCAAAAGCUCGGCCUAUCGAUCCUUUUGGUUUAAAGAGUUUUUAACAAGAGGUGUCAGAAAAGUUACCAUAGGGAUAACUGGCUUGUGGCGGCCAAGCGUUCAUAGCGACGUCGCUUUUUGAUCCUUCGAUGUCGGCUCUUCCUAUCAUUGUGAAGCAAAAUUCACCAAGCGUUGGAUUGUUCACCCAUGCAAGGGAACGUGAGCUGGGUUUAGACCGUCGUGAGACAGGUUAGUUUUACCCUACUAAUGACAAAACGUUGUUGCGACAGCAUUCCUGCGUAGUACGAGAGGAACCGCAGGUACGGACCAAUGGCACAAUACUUGUUCGAGCGAACAGUGGUAUGACGCUACGUCCGUUGGAUUAUGCCUGAACGCCUCUAAGGUCGUAUCCGUGCUGGACUGCAAUGAUAAAUAAGGGGCAAUUUGCAUUGUAUGGCUUCUAAACCAUUUAAAGUUUAUAAUUUACUUUUUAAACGACAAUGGAUGUGAUGCCAAUGUAAUUUGUAACAUAGUAAAUUGGGAGGAUCUUUGAUCACCUGAUGCCGCGCUAGUUACAUAUAAAAGCAUUAUUUAAUACAAUGACAAAGCCUAGAAUCAAUUGUAAACGACUUUUGUAACAGGCAAGGUGUUGUAAGUGGUUGAGCAGCUGCCAUACUGCGAUCCACUGAAGCUUAUCCUUUGCUUGAUGAUUCGA